AUGGCUUCGCAGGCGAUCGAGGAGCACCGGUCGGGCGCGGAUGUGCACACGGAGCUGUGCGAGGCCAGGGCCCGCGAGUUCCUGGUGGAGCUGGGCCUCCCCGACGGGCUCCUCCCGCUGCCGUCCCUCGUGGAGGUGGGCUACAACCGCGCCACGGGGUUCGUGUGGCUCCGCCAGGGCCAGUCCGGCGGCCUCACCCACACCUUCAACGCCAUCGGCAAGCAGGUCUGGUACGCCCCCGAGGUGACGGCCGUGGUGGAGCGCGGCCGGAUGCACAGCAUGACCGGGGUCAAGAGCAAGGAGCUGCUCAUCUGGGUCACCAUCUCCGAGAUCGUCAUCAGCCCCUCCGGCUCCAAGAUCGUCUUCCGCACCCCUGCCGGCCUCGGCCGCGCCUUCCCCGUCUCCGCCUUCCAGCUCAGCCCGCCGGCGACGGAGGGCGACGCCAAGGCCGCCGAGGAGGCCGCCGCCAACUGA
rnacentral:rRNA from 1 species